rnacentral:rRNA from 1 species
AACGAACGCUGGCGGCAGGCUUAACACAUGCAAGUCGAGCGCGCCCUUCGGGGUGAGCGGCGGACGGGUGAGUAACGCGUGGGAACGUGCCCUUUCCUCCGGAAUAGCCCUGGGAAACUGGGAGUAAUGCCGGAUACGCCGGGCCAUCGCGAGAUGGUUUGGGAAAGAUUUAUCGGGGAAGGAUCGGCCCGCGUCGGAUUAGGUAGUUGGUGGGGUAACGGCCUACCAAGCCGACGAUCCGUAGCUGGUUUGAGAGGAUGAUCAGCCACACUGGGACUGAGACACGGCCCAGACUCCUACGGGAGGCAGCAGUGGGGAAUCUUGGACAAUGGGGGCAACCCUGAUCCAGCCAUGCCGCGUGAGCGAUGAAGGCCUUAGGGUUGUAAAGCUCUUUCAGCGGGGAAGAUAAUGACGGUACCCGCAGAAGAAGCCCCGGCUAACUCCGUGCCAGCCGCCGCGGUAAUAC